UACGGAGGGGGCUAGCGUUGUUCGGAAUUACUGGGCGUAAAGCGCACGUAGGCGGCUUUGUAAGUUAGAGGUGAAAGCCCGGGGCUCAACUCCGGAAUUGCCUUUAAGACUGCAUCGCUAGAAUUGUGGAGAGGUGAGUGGAAUUCCGAGUGUAGAGGUGAAAUUCGUAGAUAUUCGGAAGAACACCAGUGGCGAAGGCGACACACUGGGCCAUUACUGACGCUGAGGCGCGAAAGCGUGGGGAGCAAACAGG
rnacentral:rRNA from 1 species